CUCAAAUCAGGUAGGACUACCCGCUGAACUUA
rnacentral:rRNA from 2 species